ensembl:miRNA Mir344e microRNA 344e
CAGUCAGGCUUCUGGCUAUAUUCCAGGAUGUACCUGGUCCUGGGUAUAACCAAAGCCCGACUCUAU